ACUUUGAGUCAAAGUUGCUGUUGCUUGAUGUCAGUGACUUUUCUUUGAAGAUGCAGAGCAAAUAUGGUUGUGCCAAAAAAGAACCUUCGUUCAAGAGGUCCAUUUCAGAAAUGAUAAUGGAGCGAAUGUCCAUCUAUUAUCUUGGUAAUGUUUAGAAUGUGCUGUUAAUAGCUUAAUUUGUUUUGGUAUUUUGAAUUCCAAAUUCUUGGGCUGUUAUGCUGUUCGAAGUGCUGGAAGUAAAGAAAAGGUAACUUACUAUUUUUAAGAGUAGUUUUUCUGUUCUCAAGUCCUUUAUUUGGUGGCUGCCAUAUAGAUUUAUUCCAAAUCUAGAUUUUUAAUGGUGAAAGUGAUCUUGAUUUUACCUUCUUCUAUGAAGACAUGCUGAAAAUGUGGCUUCUUAUAUGUGCAUAUUGGUUGGUGCUCUAAAAGAAGCAUGGGGAAAAGUUAAUGGUAAAGAUUUUUGAAAUGCUCAACUUAGUUUGGUGGAACUAAGGAUGAUAGAGAGAUGCUGAAAGUGGUUUCAAUUUUCUUGAAGAAAUGUGACUCACAUCUGCUUCCCCAACAUUCCCUUGGAAGUUAAAGCUUACCCUCCACUAAUUCAGUACAUGGCAAGUGUUUAGAUGUUUUGGUUAGAAUUUGAUGGGAUGGAAUUUAGUUAUUUAUGUAAUAGCACUUGACUAGAAAUGGGCAACUGGCUAAGUAUCUGGGUGGUUGUUGCCCAUCACAUGUAACAUGUUAUAAUAUAUAUAAAUUAAUGUAGAUGUGGAGUUUGACUUGGCUGAAUGAA